CAAGAGGUUGCCCCUCCGGCCGCGCGAAGCCGCGGUGCGUGCGUCCCGCCCCUACCGGACCCCGCAGAGCCAGCCCCGUCCCAUCCCUACAGGACCCCGCAGGGCCUCCCAGUGACCCCUGCCUAGCCCGCCCCAACCCCACAGGACCCCGCAGGGCCGUCCUACCCCUACAGGACCCCGCCCCGCGGUGACCUGUAGAGCUCGCCCCGCCCCCACAGGACCCCGCAGAGUCUCCCAAUGACACGUAGAGCCCGUCCAGCCCCCACAGGACCACAGAGCCAGCCUCGCUGUCACCGGACCCUGCAGAGGCCCGUCCUGCCCCCAGAGGACCCCGCCCAGCUACUUGGUGACCCCCCAAAGCCACUCUGUACCCCCGCAGGACACCACAGAGCCACUUUGUUCCCUCUAGAACCCCCUGCCAGUCUCUGUACCUCCACAGGACCCCACCAAACCUCUACAUCCCCACAGGACCGCCCUUCAUAGGACCCCGCUGAACCUCUCAGUACCUCCAUACAGUACCUCCAUAGGACCCUGCUCCUCCAUUCCAGGACCCCACAGCGCUGGUCUCUAUGCCCUACCCCCCACCCCAGUCUCAGGGCCUCACCUCCCCAGUUAUUCCCGCUUUUACGGUUUUGGGACCCACUGGGCCUACUCCUCCCCUCUCCAACAUGCAUCUUGUUCUCUCCUCCUGUGUCCCUCCCUCUCAGCACAGACCCCCAGGGGGUGGAGACUGAGGCCUGAGCCUUGGGUGUGGUGAAGCCAGGUCAAGGAGCAAGAUGGUGGAGGGUUGGUGCUAGGAGCCAGGGCUGGAGACAACAGACAGCGGAGGCUUCUGACUGGGAUGCUGAUGUGGAGGGCAGUGGUCACAGGAGUAGUGAGGAGCAUGUUGCUCACAGGGGCCAGCCAUCGGGCAACAGUCUGGUUAGUGGCUGGAAGGUGGCCUAACUUGCUGCCUGCCAUCUACCAAGGGGCCCUGGGAGCCUUGGGGACCCUACCCCACCUGAUCCUGAUCCUUCCCCUAGAGCCUCAGAGGUGAAGACCCACAGCCUGCUGAAGGUCAAGAUGGACAGCAAGCAGCUGUGGGCACAGCAGUCACAGCCCACUCAAGAGCAUAGGCAGCCCUUUCCCCCUGGGGGCCAGUCUAGGACCAGGGGCCAACCGGGUGCCCAGAGCAGUAACCAGCACGGAUUGCAAACGCAGUACUGGGUAAGUAAGAGGAGGCCACCUCUGGAAACCCGGACUUUGCGGGGGCUAGUUGGGGAGGGGAUCAGGCAGGGAAUACAGGGGCCUGAAUGGAGACAGAGGGGCAGUAUGCUCUUUCCCCACCAUCCUGUACCCUUUUUGCCUCUCUAUGCCGGGCAGAGUGGAGGCCCACCCGAGGUCGGGAAGAUGUCCAGUGCCCCUCACUCCUGGCCAAGAGAGUAUCUUGAAUUGGAGGGAGAACAAGCUUCCAGGGCAGGGAUGUGCUUGGUUCCCACAGUAGUGAGAGAGACAGACAGAUCCAGCUGUGCCUGCCCAUGGGCAUUCCCUGAGCCGAGGAAUCCAGACUACCUGUGUGGUUCCGCUUAGGGAAGGUUCAAAGCCAGGCCAGACAGGUCCAUACUUCUGUAAGACAGGAGCUCAAGGGCCUCCCAGGCUGCCAGGUGCUGGUCCUGCAGGCAGACAGUGCAGGCAGCCUUUUGAGUCAUGCAUUUGGGUCUGUGUGUGUCCAGCACGUGUGUCCACUGAAGUCAAGGGGGGGAGUAAGAAGGCUCUCUGAGCUGCCUGCAUGACUGCUCUGUGCCCUCCUGGGUACUUCCUUAUGUGGGACCCAGUACUGGGGCCACUGGGGUGAGGGACCAGCAAGACCCUUUAGCUACUGAGGGACUUGCCUUCUGAUAGGUGGUAUAGCCAGUAGGUACACAGGAGGAGUGGGCCUGGGCUAGCUUUGCACAAACCCCAGGGCCUUGCGGCAGAGAGAGCAGGGACAGGAGGAGACACUGCAGUGUCUUUCACACCUGGGUCCUUCCAGGGUUGCUCCUGUGCAAAGUUCCUUGGCCUCUCCCUUGCUUCUGACUGUGGCCCUGAAAGGCACCCAGACUGCCCUCUCUAACUUUCUGUCCCCUGGACGUAGAAUCUUUUUCUUCCAGAUCUUCCCUUAAUUGGCCUCUUCUCCGGUGUCACCUCCCAGGCUAACUUAAGUCCUUCAUCCUUCCCCUUUCCCAACCUGGGUCUCAAGAGCCACUGCCUCUGCUGUGCCUGACUACAGCCCCCAGUGCCAUGCGUGGUGCCAGAACAUACUCACAAAGAUGAGCAGCCUUGGGCUGACAUCAGGCCAAGGAGGUCUUCCCCAGCACAGGGUCUCCAGACCACCAGCCUAGACCAGUGGGUGAAGC
rnacentral:lncRNA from 1 species